rnacentral:tRNA from 1 species
GCCCCGGUAGUGUAGCGGCCUAUCAUUGGCGGCUGUCACCCGCCAGACCUAUGGAGGGCGAAACCCGGGUUCAAAUCCCGGCCGGGGUGCCA